UUACGCCCAUAUCACGUUGAAACAUCGGUUCUCGUACGAUCACCGAAGUUAAGCAACUUUGAUCCCGGACAGUACCUAGAUAGGUGACUGUUUGGAAAUACCAGGUGCUGUG